GGAGAGAUGGCUCAGUAGUUAAAAGCACUGGCCGCUUUUACGGAGGACCUGGGUUCAACUCCCAGCAUCUCCA
rnacentral:tRNA from 1 species